AGUGAACGCUGGCGGCGUGCUUAACACAUGCAAGUCGAACGAGAACGGGUUAUAGCUUGCUAUAACUGUCAGCUAGGUGGCGCACGGGUGAGUAAUGUAUAGGUAAUAUGCCUCUUACUAAGGGAUAACAAAUGGAAACGUUUGCUAAUACCUGAUACUCCUUAGUAACAUAAGUUAAUAAGGGAAAGAUUUAUUGGUAAGAGAUUAGCCUGUAUUGUAUCAGUUAGUUGGUGGGGUAAUGGCUUACCAAGACUAUGAAACCUAACUGGUUUGAGAGGAUGAUCAGUCACACUGGAACUGAGACACGGUCCAGACUCCUACGGGAGGCAGCAUUGGGGAAUAUUGCACAAUGGACGAAAGUCUGAUGCAGCAACGCCGCGUGGAGGAUGACACAUUUCGGUGCGUAAACUCCUUUUAUAUGAGAAGAUAAUGACGGUAUUAUAUGAAUAAGCACCGGCUAACUCCGUGCCAGCCGCCGCGGUAACAC
rnacentral:rRNA from 1 species